ensembl:lncRNA
AUGUACAAGCCAGUGGAGGUUACGUCCCUUCUGAAGUUGGAGAGGAAAGAUGCGCAGGAAAGACGACUUAAAAUGACCAAGAUGGAAAGAAAUUUAGGCGAAGUGCCCAUUUUCCUGUCUGGGUCUAUCUACUCCACCAGCCUGGGACGCCUGCCACUUCCUGCUGCUUCACCCUUACCCCCAGCUAAGGUGUGUGCUCAAAAGCUGAUAAAGGUGAUUUAUACCCUAUAUCAUGAAACUCAUGCAUUUUAAGUAGUUACUCCAUUCCAAAUUUGUGCAACCAUUACCACUAAUUCCAGAACGUUUUCAUCACCCGUAAAAGAAACUUGAUGUCCUUUAGCCAUCAUUCCUUCACCCCCAUCACUAAUCUACGUUCUGUCUCUAGAGAUAUGCCUCUUCUGGACAUUUCCUAUAAAAGGAAUCCUACAGUCUGUGAGUUUUGUGUCUGACUUUUUCAUAAAACAGUGGUCCCCAACCUUCUUGACACCAGGGACUGGUUUCAUGGAAGACAAUUUUUCCACAGAUGGGGUGGGGUGGGGGAUGAUUUCGGGAUGGUUGAAGCACAUAACAUUUAUUGUACACUUUAUUGUUACUACAUUGUGAUACAUAAUGAAAUAACCAUGCAGCUCAUCACAGUGCAGAAUCAGAUCAUCAGGCAUUAGAUUCUCAUAAGGAUCUUGCAAGUUAGAUCCUUAACAUGCUCAAUUCACAGUAGGGUUCACACUCCUUUGAGAAUUUAAUACCUCUGCUGAUCCGACAGGAGGCAGAGCUCAGGUGGUAAUGUGAGUGACGGGGCGGCUGUAAAUACAGAUGAAGUUUUACUCGCUUGCCCUCUGCUCACCUCCUUCCAGUUCCUAAGAGGUCAUGGAUCGGUACUAGUCUGUGGCCCAGGAGUUGGGGACCCCUGACUUAGAAGAAUGUUUUCAAGGUUCAUCCGUGUGUGUAACAUGAAUCAGUACUUCAUUCCUUCUUAUGGCUGAAGAGCAUUCCGUGCUCCUCACUUGGUUCAUCCAUUCAUCAGUCGAUGUACAUUAAUGUUGUUUCACCUUUUGGCUAAUAUUAAUAAUACUGUGAUGAACAUUCCUGUACAGGUUUUCAUGAUAUAAAUGUUUUCAUUUCUCCUGGUUAUAUAGUUUGCAGUGGAAUUUCUGGAUCACAUGGGAACUCUAUGUUUAACUUUCUGAGAAACUGCCAAACUGUUCUGCAAAAUGGCUGCACCAUUUCACAUUCCCACCAACACCACCUGAGGAUGCCGUCUCACCACAUCCACAUCCUGGUUAUCUACUGCCUUUUUGGUCAUGGCUAUCUGUGUGGAUGUGAAGUCCUAGUUUAUUGUGGUUUUCAUUUGCAUUUCCUAAUAACUAACAAUUUUGAACAGCUUCUCAGGUGUUUAUUGACUGUUUGAAUUCUUAUUUAAUCUUGCAUUUCUCUGCUCCUGGGUGUCUAGAGGUUGAGGCUGUGUGGUGUUGGGCAAUUUUUUUAAAUCUGCAAAUCAUGUACGUUAGCAGCAACCACUUCUCAAACUCUUUGGCAAGAGACAACUUUUGCUCUGUGUCUCAUCCCACUGUUCUGGUCCCAACCUUUUCACUGUGUCUGUGCGCUGGCCUUCUCUUCACUCUCCAGCCUGACUCCCACCUUCGUCUCAUCUUCCAGCCAGCUUUCUUCCUCCAGAUGGAAGAAGCCACAAACUUGAAAUAUUUGGUCCCUCCUGACCUGCUGUGAAAUACUUCCUCUCACAUACCUCUGUUAAAAACGUUUUAUGAUCCCGCAUAUUAAUCAAUGUGGUUCUUUACCAGCGUCGCAUAAUUGUGCCAUGAACCGCAGCCAUAAGUCAAAAGACCUUCUCUAAACUUUCAGUGAUUGUUCUGGACAGUUUUGUAGGAGGGAAGACGGAGACGUUUAAUCAGACUAGGAGUCUUUCAGGAGAGCAUCCAACCUACCUCAGGACUCAUCCAAAGGCCAUUUGCUUUUCCCUCCCAAGCAUUUCGCUUGAUCCAAGGUCUGUUAACAAUUUGAAAGUCAAACUCCUGUCUCGGGUUACGGAAUGGGUAUCUCCUUUUGUUGUGUGGGAUCAGACACCUGAUCCCAGCUGGUAGAUCCCCAAGGAUGCUCCUUCCGCACGAAGCUCCAGAAUUACCUUCUCAAGUGGACAGUGCCACGUAACCACACUGGGCAUCCGAUCGCCCCUCCUGGAAGGCAGCAGACAUCUGCCAGGAUCCCAGGACCGUGUUUUAUAUAAACAAGCCCAGCUCACUCCAUCAUUCGGAGAUGUGUGUGUGGAGGCAGGCAAUAGCCUUGGGACCACAUGCUUUUGAUAAUCUUUUGGCAAGUGAGCACUUCCCAAGCCAGGAUUUGUCAUCAUCUUUUCUCUUUCUUAGCGGUGAGAGAAUAGAUACAUGUUUUAUUGGUUCCACUUUUUGAAAGUCACUGGUCUGUUUUUGCUGCCUGACUUUCAAGGCUAAGAAUGUCAGUUUUGGUUACUUUCCAUCUCUCAGUGGAGGUUACGUCCCUUCUGAAGUUGGAGAGGAAAGAUGCGAGGAAAGACGACUUAAAAUGACCAAGAUGGAAAGAAAUUUAGGCGAAGUGCCCAUUUUCCUGUCUGGGUCUAUCUACUCCACCAGCCUGGGACGCCUGCCACUUCCUGCUGCUUCACCCUUACCCCAGCUAAGGUGUGUGCUCAAAAGCUGAUAAAGGUGAUUUAUACCCUAUAUCAUGAAACUCAUGCAUUUUAAGUAGUUACUCCAUUCCAAAUUUGUGCAACCAUUACCACUAAUUCCAGAACGUUUUCAUCACCCGUAAAAGAAACUUGAUGUCCUUUAGCCAUCAUUCCUUCACCCCCAUCACUAAUCUACGUUCUGUCUCUAGAGAUAUGCCUCUUCUGGACAUUUCCUAUAAAAGGAAUCCUACAGUCUGUGAGUUUUGUGUCUGACUUUUUCACAUAAAACAGUGGUCCCCAACCUUCUUGACACCAGGGACUGGUUUCAUGGAAGACAAUUUUUCCACAGAUGGGGUGGGGUGGGGGAUGAUUUCGGGAUGGUUGAAGCACAUAACAUUUAUUGUACACUUUAUUGUUACUACAUUGUGAUACAUAAUGAAAUAACCAUGCAGCUCAUCACAGUGCAGAAUCAGAUCAUCAGGCAUUAGAUUCUCAUAAGGAUCUUGCAAGUUAGAUCCUUAACAUGCUCAAUUCACAGUAGGGUUCACACUCCUUUGAGAAUUUAAUACCUCUGCUGAUCCGACAGGAGGCAGAGCUCAGGUGGUAA